rnacentral:rRNA from 1 species
GACAGAGGGUGCAAACGUUGUUCGGAAUUACUGGGCGUAAAGCGAGUGUAGGCGGUUCGAUAAGUCGGAUGUGAAAGCCCCGGGCUCAACCCGGGAAGUGCACUCGAUACUGUCGAGCUAGAGUAUCGGAGAGGUUGGUGGAAUUCUCGGUGUAGAGGUGAAAUUCAUAGAUAUCGAGAGGAACACCGGUGGCGAAGGCGGCCAACUGGACGAAUACUGACGCUGAGACUCGAAAGCGUGGGGAGCAAACAGG